AGCGAACGCUGGCGGCAGGCUUAACACAUGCAAGUCGAGCGGGCACCUUCGGGUGUCAGCGGCAGACGGGUGAGUAACACGUGGGAACGUACCCUUCGGUUCGGAAUAACGCUGGGAAACUAGCGCUAAUACCGGAUACGCCCUUAUGGGGAAAGGUUUACUGCCGAAGGAUCGGCCCGCGUCUGAUUAGCUAGUUGGUGGGGUAACGGCCUACCAAGGCGACGAUCAGUAGCUGGUCUGAGAGGAUGAUCAGCCACACUGGGACUGAGACACGGCCCAGACUCCUACGGGAAGCAGCAGUGGGGAAUAUUGGACAAUGGGCGCAAGCCUGAUCCAGCCAUGCCGUGUGAGUGAUGAAGGCCUUAGGGUUGUAAAGCUCUUUUGUCCGGGACGAUAAUGACGGUACCGGAAGAAUAAGCCCCGGCUAACUUCGUG
rnacentral:rRNA from 1 species